CCUACGGGAGGCAGCAGUGAGGAAUAUUGGACAAUGGGCGCAAGCCUGAUCCAGCCAUGCCGCGUGCAGGAAGACGCAUCUAUGGUGUGUAAACUGCUUUUGUACGGGAAGAAACACUCCCUCGUGAGGGAGCUUGACGGUACCGUAAGAAUAAGGAUCGGCUAACUCCGUGCCAGCAGCCGCGGUAAUACGGAGGAUCCAAGCGUUAUCCGGAAUCAUUGGGUUUAAAGGGUCCGUAGGCGGUUUAAUAAGUCAGUGGUGAAAGCCCAUCGCUCAACGAUGGAACGGCCAUUGAUACUGUUAGACUUGAAUUACUAGGAAGUAACUAGAAUAUGUAGUGUAGCGGUGAAAUGCUUAGAUAUUACAUGGAAUACCAAUUGCGAAGGCAGGUUACUACUAGUGGAUUGACGCUGAUGGACGAAAGCGUGGGGAGCGAACAGGAUUAGAUACCCUGGUAGUCCACGCCGUAAACGAUGGAUACUAGCUGUUGGGCGCAAGUUCAGUGNGUAGACGAAGUAGAGUAGUAGUCCGACCGUCGGGAGGUACGUUAACGGUCGAAGAAAGUUAGUAAACGUUACGAAAGUAGAAGUUAGUUACGGCGUUGGAGACGAGCCGACGGACGACGACGAGGGAGGAGG
rnacentral:rRNA from 1 species